CAACUUUCUUCCAUUGCAUUUUCAUGCUGUAUGUCAUCUAAUUUAUAUUUUAAGGAUAAUCUGUAAAAGCAGUAGCUGAUUUUAUGACAGAAAUAUUUCAGUUAAUGGAAGUAAGGGGAGGCAUGAAAAAUUUUUUAAAGAUUUUAUGUAUUUUGCAGGGUAAAGAUUUUUAAAUGAAAUCUACUUGCAAAGUUUCUUUCUAGAUGACAACCAGUUAAUUAACACAUAUUGCUAGAAGUUUGCCUUCUAGGUUAUGAAAUCACUGAGGAGCUAUCUGUAAGAUGCUAUUAAGAUGAACCUUUGGUGUCAAAAUGUGUUCACCAUUUCUUCUGACUUUCAGGUAUUUGCUUCAAGGAAGAAUGGAUAGCUGGAGGCAGAGCACAGCUCCUCAGAUUCAUUUGGAAUGCUAAAUGAAAUAGUGCAGUUGUGGGCUGAAUACUGUAGACCCUGGGAGAGAUAAAACUCCAGAGAGGGAAGAACCUCAGGCAGGUGGACUGCAUUCUGUACAUCCUUCUGUUCUGAUGUGGUAAGUAAAACUUUCAUCACAACUCAUGCAAGAGAUGCAUAUUUUUUG
rnacentral:lncRNA from 1 species